CAAAAGGCUCUUUUCAGAGCUACACACUGCCUCAAGCAGUUAUUAG
rfam:Operophtera brumata OBRT01_Sc06723, whole genome shotgun sequence.